rnacentral:rRNA from 1 species
UACGGGGGGAGCAAGCGUUGUUCGGAUUUACUGGGCGUAAAGGGCGCGUAGGCGGCGCAACAAGUCACUUGUGAAAUCUCCGGGCUUAACCCGGAGCGGCCAAGUGAUACUGUCGUGCUAGAGUGCGGAAGGGGCUACUGGAAUUCUCGGUGUAGCGGUGAAAUGCGUAGAUAUCGAGAGGAACACCUGCGGCGAAGGCGGGUAGCUGGGCCAACACUGACGCUGAUGCGCGAAAGCUAGGGGAGCAAACGGG